rnacentral:rRNA from 1 species
AGGACGAACGCUGGCGGCGCGCUUAACACAUGCAAGUCGAGCGAGAACCAGGCCUUCGGGCCUGGGGAAAGCGGCGAACGGGUGAGUAACACGUGGGUAACCCACCCUUGGUACCGGGAUAGCCCGAGGAAACUCGGAUUAAUACCGGAUGGCCCAACAGCUCUUCGGGGCGGUUGGAAAAGGUAGCUUCGGCCUCCGACCAAGGACGGGCCCGCGGCGGAUUAGCUUGUUGGUGAGGUAACGGCUCACCAAGGCGACGAUCCGUAGCUGGUCUGAGAGGACGAUCAGCCACACUGGGACUGAGACACGGCCCAGACUCCUACGGGAGGCAGCAGUGGGGAAUCUUGCGCAAUGGGCGAAAGCCUGACGCAGCGACGCCGCGUGGGGGACGAAGCCCUUCGGGGUGUAAACCACUGUCAGAGGAUAGAAAGUUCUGAUCAUCCUCAGAGGAAGGCACGGCUAACUCUGUGCCAGCAGCCGC